UAUGCGCGUGCGCCUGUGAGCGGGUGCGCGUGCACACUGGGGGAGCGCGGGAAGGGACAGGCAGACCGUUCAGAAGCAGAGAAAGGAAUAGAAAGAAACAGGGAGGAGGAUGAGCACCAAUGUGACGUGACGUUCGGGGAAAAGUAUGAGAGACACUGAGCUCUGUGGCGCCGUCCUUAAGUAGCCGUGAAGAAUUUCUCGGACGCCACAGAUAACUGGAUUCCUAUGGCCUCACCCACGCUGGCCACAAACGGCUUCCCAGGGAUCAUGACACAUCACCAUCGUUUCAGACCCCACCCCCACUCCCAGCUUCUGACCACAACCUGAACGAGGACAAUUUUAAACUCUCUGAGGGAACUAAGUAAGAGACAAUAUCCUCAUUUCCAGGAAACCCUUUUCCACAUCUGCCCUAAACUUGUGCAGCUGUCUCACUCUGCGCAGCAGGCCCAGCCUCCAGGAUGCAGAGCUAGACACGCAGCCACCUGCUGUGCAGCGCUGCUUUGGUCACCUCUGAGAAACUACCAGCCAGCCGGCCUGGGACAUUUGUCUCACAGCAAGUACCCCUCACACAAACUGGAGCAGGACCUUCUUGCUCUUCAUCCACCUGUGCUGGUAGCUGCGGCAGGAGUGGGAAAACUUGCUCUGUAAAAGUCCCAACAGUAAAUAUUUCAGGCUUCGAAGGUCUCUUCCGAGACUACUCGAUUUGCUGUUGUCCCGAGAGAGCACCCACAAGCCACCCGUGAACCUGCAAGGACAAUGUUUUCCGCUGAAACUUAAUUUCACACAAAAGCAGCUGCUAGAUCCGUCCACAAGCCAGGGUGCCACCCCAGCUGCAAGAACAUCUUCUGCCUGGCAAAGCUGCCUCUUGUGUCACUGCGAUUCUCAAGAGGCAAAUGGGAAAAUGGUAAGUUAGCUGGGCAGUAAAAGUGCUAAGGAGAUAAACCAAGCCAGGAAGGCGGCUCUGAUAGGUUAGGAACAGUGGCUGGUAUCUGGAUAGGCCAGGAAAGGCUCACAGAAAAGGUGUCUUCUGCGCCACCCAUCACCAUGGAAACAACAGUGGGACCAGCCGGGGCAGGGGGAGAAGGCCUCCCAGGAUCACUGUGCCAAGGCCUGGCAUCGAUGUUCCGGGGACACGCCAGGGGACAAGUACGCACACCACCUUGUGCACAGGGUAUGGGUCUAGAGGCUUCAUCUCCAGGCGUACUGCAGGCUCCAGCCACAGCGUCGACUCCCCCUGCAGCCCCCAGGAUGGUGUUAGCCCAUCCCUGCAGCAAAUCUACCUCGCUCAGUGGAGACACAGAAUCUACGCCAUACUGCAGGUUCCAUUUCUCUGGAGAACCUUGGCAAGUACAGAUUUGGGGAGAAGUCUGGAGGUGUUACCACCGAUGUCCUUCCAGAACUCUGCCUAGAACCUCACCUUCUGGUGGAAAGGGACAAAGAAGCCAACUCAGGCUCACUUUACGUGAAUGCAAAGUCCAGAGUGGGUUUGGUCCCAUGGCCCAGAGAUGCCUCCACCUGUUUGUUACUUCCUCUUCCUUUCCUGUCCUGUGGUGGCCGCUUCACCUGAAAGCUGGUCACACCUCAAGAUGGCAGGAGGGCUGGCGGGAGGGCUGGCAGGGGCUCCUAGAGACUUGUUGCUCACUUACAAGGAGAGAGUGCGGCUCAUGUCCCCAGCAGCUGCCUUAGAGGAGAGAGGAAACCUCUUCCCCAGUUGCAAAGGCUGGAAUCAGGCCACAUGCCCCAAGAAAACCACAGCCCAAUGGCAGACCCAGCUUUGUCCAAAGCACCUGGGCAUGUAGUGACAGGCUGGGGUGCCCACCUGUUCCCACCAGGAAGGCAGAGGUGAAAUCUAACCACAGCGUCCUCUCUGCAGUAGCGGUCCCAGCUUACCCUCAAGGCCAUCUGCUGCGUGAAACUCUUAUCUUUCCAACAGGUGUUAAGCUGGAGACCCAUCCACAGCUACCUCUAGAUAUCAACACUGACAAAAGAUCAUCUAAUCAAGUUGUGCAAUUACAUGUAAAUGUGCCCAUAAAUACCAUAACUGUGUCACUAAAGACCAGAACUGUCUCAAACAGGAAUUGAGUUAUGGCAAGUGCUGGCACAGUGAAAACGACUGUACAACAAUAUGCAGAUGCUGACUCACAAGUCACUGGGAACCGUUUCUCUUCUUCCUCUGUGCUCAGUUUUAAAAGCCAUUAAUAAAAACUUGGACAACAAAACUCAAUUAUUCCUUUUUAGAGUUGAUUAUCAUGCUGAAAAUAGCAAUAAAAUUUAGUAAACAAAGGUUAGGAAAAUCCUUGUGUUUGCACAAAGUGCAACACAGCACAGCUCACCAGCAAAGAUUACAGAAAAAUAAUCUGCAGUGUAACAAAGUUUCAUUUAUAGGAUGUACUUCAAAACAAUAGGCGGCAAGGAGCUUUGUGUGAAAUCCAAUUAUCAGAGUAUUAGGCAUUUACAGCUUCGUAUUCACAAUUGUUUAACAUCAUUGUAUUGUCAUUAGCAUAAGAUGUGUAACAGUGUGUGCCAGAUAAACUACUCUGUGUUUUGCUUAAUAUUUUAAUCAAUGGCUUAAAAGAUAAUAAAUAGCAUCUUAGUACAAAAUGCAUUUUGAACAAUAUUACAUUGUCAACUAUUGCCAGAAUUAGUAAAAUCAGAGGAAUCAAAAGACAGGAAGGCUGCAGAGAUGAGACACAGGACAGUGAACAGCAUCAGUGUCACGGCAGGAAGUCCACACGUUCCACAGAUAGGGGAAAGCGAGGUGGGACCACUGCCUUGCGCUGUUGUGCAGAUCAGGAACAGAAUCAGAAAGGGUUUGAUUGCAAAGAGCUCAGAUGCCAAGGUGCUGACUGACGGGUCCCCACAAGAGGAAGUUUUAGCGGAUUGUCACCUAAAGGGUCAGUCCCAGAACUGAGGCUGAGACGCCAGCCCAGGGCUCCUCUGGGAUACCCCAGACCAAAGACAAACCAUUCUCUUUGGCAAGUCGGAUGGACGACAGAACAGUGCAUCCACAACAAGUUCUGUUACAGAGAACAAACGGUGACAGACAAGGAAACACAGACAACUACUCCCGCGGCAUCUAGAGAAUUAGGAACUUCUCUUUCCCUACAAGACCAGCGCAGGUGAAAUAGUCAAGACAGUUGCCACAAACUGUUGGGGACUAAGACCCUCCACAUCCCAAUGACUUGUCCUACACAUGGGGCGAGGCCCGGAAAAUAGCCUAAGACGAAAAUAGCACCCAGCCCUC